CCUACGGGUGGCAGCAGUGAGGAAUAUUGGUCAAUGGGCGCGAGCCUGAACCAGCCAAGUCGCGUGAUGGAAGACGGUCCUAUGGAUUGUAAACCUCUUUUGUCGGGGAGCAAAAGACGCCACGCGUGGCGUUCCGAGAGUACCCGAAGAAAAAUCAUCGGCUAACUCCGUGCCAGCAGCCGCGGUAAUACGGAGGAUGCGAGCGUUAUCCGGAUUUAUUGGGUUUAAAGGGUGCGCAGGCGGAAGAUCAAGGCAGCGGUAAAAUUGAGAGGCUCAACCUCUUCGAGCCGUUGAAACUGGUUGUCUUGAGUGAGUGAGAAGUAUGCGGAAUGCGUGGUGUAGCGGUGAAAUGCAUAGAUAUCACGCAGAACUCCGAUUGCGAAGGCAGCAUACCGGCGCUCAACUGACGCUCAUGCACGAAAGUGUGGGUAUCGAACAGGAUUAGAUACCCCGGUAGUC
rnacentral:rRNA from 1 species